rnacentral:misc_RNA from 1 species
GAUGAAGAACGUAGCGAAAUGCGAUAAGUAGUGUGAAUUGCAGAAUCCAGUGAAUCAUCGAAUCUUUGAACGCACAUUGCGCCCUUUGGUAUUCCAAAGGGCAUGCCUGUUCGAGCGUCAUUUGUACCCUCAAGCUUUGCUUGGUGUUGGGCGUCUUGUCUCUAGCUUUGCUGGAGACUCGCCUUAAAGUAAUUGGCAGCCGGCCUACUGGUUUCGGAGCGCAGCACAAGUCGCACUCUCUAUCAGCAAAGGUCUAGCAUCCAUUAAGCCUUUUUUUCAACUUUUGACCUCGGAUCAGGUAGGGAUACCCGCUGAACUUAAGCAUAUCAAUAAGCGGAGGA